rnacentral:rRNA from 1 species
AACGUAGGACGCAAGCGUUAUCCGGAGUUACUGGGCGUAAAGCGCGGGCAGGCGGCUCGAAACGUCUGAUGUGAAAUCUCCUCGCUCAACGGGGAGAGGCCAUUGGAAACGGUCGGGCUGGAGGGCAGUAGAGGCAGGCGGAAUUCCGGGUGGAGUGGUGAAAUGCGUAGAGAUCCUGAGGAACACCAGAGGCGAAGGCGGCCUGCUGGGCUGCACCUGACGCUGAACCGCGAAAGCCAGGGGAGCGAACGGG